rnacentral:rRNA from 1 species
AUUGAACGCUGGCGGCAGGCCUAACACAUGCAAGUCGAGCGGAUGAAGGGAGCUUGCUCCUGGAUUCAGCGGCGGACGGGUGAGUAAUGCCUAGGAAUCUGCCUGGUAGUGGGGGAUAACGUCCGGAAACGGGCGCUAAUACCGCAUACGUCCUGAGGGAGAAAGUGGGGGAUCUUCGGACCUCACGCUAUCAGAUGAGCCUAGGUCGGAUUAGCUAGUUGGUGGGGUAAAGGCCUACCAAGGCGACGAUCCGUAACUGGUCUGAGAGGAUGAUCAGUCACACUGGAACUGAGACACGGUCCAGACUCCUACGGGAGGCAGCAGUGGGGAAUCUUGGGCACUGGGCGCAAGCCUGAUCCAGCCCUGCCGCGUGUGUGAAGAAGGUCUUCGGAUUGUAAAGCACUUUAAGUUGGGAGGAAGGGCAGUAAGUUAAUACCUUGCUGUUUUGACGUUACCCACAGAAUAAGCACCGGCUAACUUCGUG